rnacentral:rRNA from 1 species
UACGAAGGGGGCUAGCGUUGCUCGGAAUCACUGGGCGUAAAGCGCACGUAGGCGGGUCUUUUAAGUCGGAGGUGAAAUCCUGGAGCUCAACUCCAGAACUGCCUUCGAUACUGAGGAUCUCGAGUCCGGGAGAGGUGAGUGGAAUGCGAGUGUAGAGGUGAAAUUCGUAGAUAUUCGCAAGAACACCAGUCGGCGGAAGGCGGACUCGACUGGC